CCUACGGGUGGCUGCAGUGAGGAAUAUUGGUCAAUGGACGAGAGUCUGAACCAGCCAAGUCGCGUGAAGGAUGACUGCCCUAUGGGUUGUAAACUUCUUUUAUAUAGGAAUAAAACGAGGCACGUGUGCCUUUUUGUAUGUACUUUAUGAAUAAGGAUCGGCUAACUCCGUGCCAGCAGCCGCGGUAAUACGGAGGAUGCGAGCGUUAUCCGGAUUUAUUGGGUUUAAAGGGAGCGUAGAUGGUUUGUUAAGUCAGUUGUGAAAGUUUGCGGCUCAACCGUAAAAUUGCAAUUGAUACUGGCAGUCUUGAGUACAGUUGAGGUAGGCGGAAUUCGUGGUGUAGCGGUGAAAUGCUUAGAUAUCACGAAGAACCCCGAUUGCGAAGACAGCUUACUAAACUGUGACUGACAUUGAUGCUCGAAAGUGUGGGUAUCAAACAGGAUUAGAUACCCGUGUAGUC
rnacentral:rRNA from 1 species